CAGCUCUGCCCAUUACUCAUAAGCACCCAAAAGUCACAUCACUUUGUGAACAAUGUAAAAUCUGUCAAGAAGGCUUAGAAAUCUACGCUGGCACUUCAACCCUUUGUCCACACCAUCAUGCUCACCACCCUGGUGUUCAGCUGGAGCUUCUAACCCAGUACCUGGUUUGUCAUGGAAAUGAUUGAGCAGAUCUCGGGGACUGAACCUCUCACUCAGCUUACAAAGAACUUCUCCUCACCAAGAUGUGGUGACGCUGUUCACACAGCAAUGAGCACAGCAACAAGCAGUGCUGUUGCAGGAAAGCAAUUCCUUGGUUCCUUGGUGUGAUUUCCUGAACUUGCAUAGGACACCAGGUUUCUGGAAAUUUACUGAGAAAAAGUCUCACAGCAUCCUCAGCGACCACAAGCCUCACAAACUGUACCUCCUGUUUGAGUGCCAUUCAGCACAGAACAAAACACCCAGUCCUGCCUCUGUAGCUGCUCUGAGAUCUGCUAUCUCUGAAAAUACUGGUUUCAGGUGUGGGCUGGAAAGUGAGUAAGACUUGCUGAGGCCGCUCUUAAGUUUAUGGCAGCCUUUGCCAUAACAUUAUGGAAUGUUGUAGGACUCCCUACAGGUAGCAAGAAGUUAAAAUCUCCCUAAUGCUACUGGAUUCUUUGUAAAGAAGCAAUUUUUCAAUUAUACGUAAUUAAUAGUAAUUACUCUUUAUCUUCAGAGACCAGAACAAAGAAUAAUUAAUCCAUCUUAACAUCCCUGUUAAGGAGCUAUUAAAUAUGGGGGUUUUAUACAGCAGACUACUUAGUAACUUAUGUGGCCCGCAGUUCAGUCUGUGUUCCCUAAUGCAGAAAGGAAAGAGAAAAGAAUCCUGAACUAUCUGAACUAAUAUUCUAGUUCUUGCCUCAAUUUAAUUAACUAGUUUGGAAACAGCUGUUUCCCUCUUGCAGCAGCAUUUCCUUCUGCAAAUGAAGUGUGCUGCCUACAGAUCUCUCAUUUAGAGAAGCAGUUUUACUACAUCUUAUAAAUAAUAACAUUCAAGU
rnacentral:lncRNA from 1 species